GACACAUCUACACUCAUAUAAUUCGAUCUUUCCUUACUAUUUCCCCCCUCCCCCCAUUGACAAUGUUGGGUUCCUUCAAAAAGUACAAAAAUACGAGAGAGUUAACAUUUUCAUAAUUGGGAGGCAAGGAUACUGAAAAUAUUGAAAAUGGCGGACGUUCAGGGGGAUGAAGCCUCUCUAAGCGCACUGGCUAGAAACAUGGCGACAGUAUUGCAACAGUUAAGCCAAAAUCAUAGGCAAAACCAAGAAGUCGGCCCACUGUAAGGUUCCUAUUCUGUGGUAAACUGAGCGUUAUAAAAGGGAGAGUUAAGGUCUGAGAGAGAGAGUUAUGAUUUCGGAGAGUUAAGUUCGAGCCACGCCCACUUUUUCCAACGAUACCCAAUAUUCACAAUAACGUACUGCUUGAAAUUAAACUGUUACACAAUGUUCUACCCUUAUUCCUAAAUCUACUCCCAUGACACCAAAUCAGUUUUCAUAUAAAUUUUGUAAAACUGAUAUUAAAUAUGCAAGUUCAGUUCAGAUGACGCAUCUUCUUCAUUAAGCUUUAAAUUUGGUCUCGGAUCCGGCUGCACUUCAGAUUUUGCCCAUGUGCACACUGUAACCUGCAUCAGUAUUCGUUCUGUAAAAAAGAUAACGGGAUAAUGAGAUGCUGUGGGAUAAGAUAAGAGGGGGGGGGGGGCAAGGGUAUUUUCGUGACUCGUGAUUAGCAAUUAUUCGUGCUUCGUGAUUUGAAGAAAUACCAU